rnacentral:rRNA from 1 species
UACGUAGGGUGCAAGCGUUAAUCGGAAUUACUGGGCGUAAAGCGUGCGCAGGCGGUUUUGUAAGACUGUCGUGAAAUCCCCGGGCUCAACCUGGGAAUGGCGAUGGUGACUGCAAGGCUAGAGUUUGGCAGAGGGGGGGUAGAAUUCCACGUGUAGCAGUGAAAUGCGUAGAUAUGUGGAGGAACACCGAUGGCGAAGGCAGCCCCCCUGGGUCAAUACUGACGCUCAUGCACGAAAGCGUGGGGAGCAAACGGG